GCGCAGAUAGCUCAGCGGUAGAGCGGCUCGUUUACACCGAGUUGGUCGGGGGUUCGAUCCCCUCUCUGCGCACCA
rnacentral:tRNA from 1 species